GCUCAAGUGCCUCUGUUAUAAUUGGCUGCCGUGUGCACCUAUGGUCCAAUGUGACACUGGAAGCCAUAGCUGCCCCACUGACUUUGAACUGGAAUCCUGAGCCCUCUACAUGUGCUCGCAACAUCCCAGGCAGCUUAGUCCCCACAAGCAUCAUCACACCCCUCCUGAAUCCCUUCGUCUUCAGUCUGUGGAAUGAACCCAUGAAAGAUGCACUGAAGGACGCCUCGGCCGGAGGACAGAGCUUGCUCAAAGGGGCACACAAACUUCUUCUUAUAAGCUCUGGAUACCUGUUCAUUGACAUCACUGAAAAAUAAAGUGGUUUUCUCAAAGCAACAGAGUCUCCUUUCAGAUUUUAACUAUGAAAAUGGUUAAGAAAAUGUGGCACAUAUACACCAUGGAAUACUAUGCAGCCAUA
rnacentral:lncRNA from 1 species